UACGUAGGUGGCGAGCGUUAUCCGGAUUUACUGGGUGUAAAGGGAGCGUAGACGGUUGUGCAAGUCUGAAGUGAAAGCCCGCGGCUCAACUGCGGAACGGCUUUGGAAACUGUGUAACUGGAGUGCUGGAGAGGUAAGCGGAAUUCCUGGUGUAGCGGUGAAAUGCGUAGAGAUCAGGAGGAACACCGGCGGCGAAGGCGGCUUACUGGACAGUAACUGACGUUGAGGCUCGAAAGCGUGGGGAGCAAACAGG
rnacentral:rRNA from 1 species